GAUGAACGCUGGCGGCGUGCCUAAUACACGCAAGUCGAACGCUUCACUUCGGUGAAGAGUGGCGAACGGGUGAGUAAUACAUAAGUAACCUGGCAUCUACAGGGGGAUAACUGAUGGAAACGUCAGCUAAGACCGCAUAGGUGUAGAGAUCGCAUGAACUCUAUAUGAAAAGUGCUACGGGACUGGUAGAUGAUGGACUUAUGGCGCAUUAGCUGUUUGGUAGGGUAACGGCCUACCAAGGCGACGAUGCGUAGCCGACCUGAGAGGGUGACCGGCCAAACUGGGACUGAGACACGGCCCAGACUCCUACGGGAGGCAGCAGUAGGGAAUUUUCGGCAAUGGGGGAAACCCUGACCGAGCAACGCCGCGUGAAGGAAGAAGUAAUUCGUUAUGUAAACUUCUGUCAUAGAGGAAGAACGGUGGAUAUAGGGAAUGAUAUCCAAGUGACGGUACUCUAUAAGAAAGCCACGGCUAACUACGUGCCAGCCGCCGCAGUAA
rnacentral:rRNA from 1 species